CAUGACAGUUCUCGUGCUGUAGUAGUGGUAGGUGAAAUGAGAGUCGAUGACUGAGGUAGAAGGUAAAAAAAAAUAAUAGUUUCGCCAUAGCAUGAAAUUUGAGUCGAUAGUUUGAUAAUUUGUUGAAUUUAUUGCACAAAGCAAUUUGUGGUUGGAGGUGCGUUAAAACCUUAAACAACAGUGUGGUGAAAUUAGUCGGUAGCAUCCGUAAGUAAACAUUUGUAGCUAAAAAGUAUGGAAUCGAUUGGAAAAAUAUUGUAAAUACCUACCUGUAUACUUCCUCAGGUGUGCAAAUAACGGUACCUGGUGACACCUGAAACAAGGAGAAAUAACCAGAACUUACCGUGCAACGGUUACUAUUCAUCCGCGCAAAACCCACCAGUUUAGGGUGACAACACCUAACUUGAACCAACCGUAUGUGAAGAGCAGAAAAGAAGUCGUGGCAGCGGAAACCACUUAAUUGUAAGUUGUUAGUAAUUAAGUUUUGUGUUGUUAAUUGUGCUAAUUGAUAUUUUUGUUAAUAAAUUUCACA